rnacentral:rRNA from 1 species
GACGAACGCUGGCGGCGUGCCUAAUACAUGCAAGUAGAACGCUGAAGCUUGGUGCUUGCACCGAGCGGAUGAGUUGCGAACGGGUGAGUGACGCGUAGGUAACCUGCCUGGUAGCGGGGGAUAACUAUUGGAAACGAUAGCUAAUACCGCAUAAGAGUAGAUGUUGCAUGACAUUUGCUUAAAAGGUGCAAUUGCAUCACUACCAGAUGGACCUGCGUUGUAUUAGCUAGUUGGUGAGGUAACGGCUCACCAAGGCAACGAUACAUAGCCGACCUGAGAGGGUGAUCGGCCACACUGGGACUGAGACACGGCCCAGACUCCUACGGGAGGCAGCAGUAGGGAAUCUUCGGCAAUGGACGGAAGUCUGACCGAGCAACGCCGCGUGAGUGAAGAAGGGUUUCGGAUCGUAAAGCUCUGUUGUAAGAGAAGAACGAGUGUGAGAGUGGAAAGUUCACACUGUGACGGUAUCUUACCAGAAAGGGACGGCUAACUACGUG